rnacentral:tRNA from 1 species
UCCCCGGUAGCUCAGUCGGCAGAGCAAGUGACUGUUAAUCACUGGGUCGGCGGUUCGAGCCCGUCCCGGGGAG